ACACAUUAAUAAUAUUUCUAUAAUUUUUAACAUUUUGAAAUAGUUAUCGUCGCAAUUUCAAAAUAAUAAUAAGACAUCUUUUUUUUCAGAAUAUAUUUUUAUUUACUAUUUCCUAAAUUCUCAUUCGAUGAGCUAUUUCCCAGGAAACCAAUAAAAGAAACUUUAAUAUUUUGAUAUUCAUUCGUCGAGUAAACGCGCCAUUCGUACAAAAAUGAAAUAUCCAUCGAUAUUAGUAUCAUGAAUCAUUAAGAAAAAGAAUUCAGAAACUAAAAUCAGACUUGCAUUGUAUAAAUCUAUAGAAUAUUUCCUAUGAGAAACAUAAGAAAGAGAGAAUAAUAUUCAAAAAACCUUAUCUAAUGAUGUAAUGCUAAUCUAAGAACAUCAAAUAUAAUUCAAGAAGUACUUAUAUAUAGCUACACGUAUGCAUUAAGAGAGAAUUAUCAGUUGAAAGGCAGAUACGAAAAUAGAAGCUGUAAUUACUUCUAUAGACUACCGUCGAUUGAAAUUGCGCAUUUAACCGCUUUAUCAGAUGAAGAAUAAUAACUUAAUAUAAUGCGAUUACGUGAUUUUUUCAUGUCAAUCUCACAAGAAUGUUUCAAUCGAUAUAAACAAUCAUAUAUAUAAAUGUUUUGAUUGACAAAAUCAUAUUGUAUAUGAGAUGUAUAUUAGAUGACUGAAAAUCGAAUUUAAGUAUAUUUUAGAUUACAAACCUAUGUUACAAAAAUGUAGUUUUUGAAGAAAGUUAACCUAAAAAGAUAAAAGAUAUAAAGAUACAAAAGACAUUUUCAAUUGAUAAUGAUUAUAAAGUGAUAUUUUCAAUUACAAUUACAAUUGAAUAUAGAUCAACGAGAAAAAUCAAAUAAAAGCAUCUUAACCAAAAACAUUACGUGAGAUUAAUAAGAAUCAAGUGAUUAACGCAUCCAUCUUUUUUCGUUCUAUUUGUUGAGCAUGCGCACUUUAUAGUUCUGAAAUUGUACGUAAGUAGGUACUACGUGAAUAUAACAGUGCAUAUUUCUUAGACAGAGAAGCUGCAUACAUGAAACUUUAAUUAAUUCAAUGUAAUAUAUAUAUUUGAGUAAAGAAGUUGCUCUACUCUAAGUCAUAUAUAUAUAUAUAUGUUUGCCUUUAGUAAGUUGUAAGCUAUAGACUCGUAUAUGACAAGAGACUUCCAGAACUUGGUAAUCAUAAACAUGCGAUACGCAAUGCAGGACAAACAGAACGCGAGGAAUACAAUAAAGACAACCUCGAGUUUGUAAGCUGGGGAAACAAUUAUCUGCCGUCCCAUUUAUUAAUGGUUCAUAUACGAGUUAAUUUCGUUAAGAGUAUCAAAGACAGUGAGAUACAAUUUCUUUCCUCGUAUCGUGAGAUUUCCAACAAGACAAAUCGAAUUUCUAGAUGAGAAAUGGAACAAUUCUUAUAGUUAUAUAAACUGGAUUAAAUCGAAAUCGAUUAAAACACGUUGUUUGAACUUUGUGAAAAAUUGAAUAAUCAAGAAUAUUAUAUAUUAUAAUUCGCUUCAAUGCAACCUGCAACGUAUGAAUUAAAGAAUAAAAAAGAUAAUAUAAGUCCAUUAUUGCAAAUAAGAUAAGUAUUUUCAUGUUUCAAAGAUACCAUAAAAUCCCAAAAUGAAAUUUCGAGAAUUUUCAAAUUUUCGAAAAAAUAAAAAAAAAUUUUUUUCGUAAAUCAAAUUUCCCAAGCAAGCGUUACUUCUCAUUUUGGAGAACGCUAUAAAAAUCGUGGUAUAAUGUUUUAAUAAAUUUUCGGAACCACGGUCACCAGCACUUCCGGUUAGAAUAACUUUUUCUCAAACGUGAAUUUACCUUUGUCCUAAUGAGCGGCGAUUCAGCGGCAACGAUAUUAUGGUAAUUUACCCGAUAAUCGAUUUCGUGGAGCGUUGCUCCACGACCCUACCUGUGACCGCGAUUUCACUUUUCCGUUCCUAUCCGGACAGCCGCGAGGGCAAUAACGUUUUAUCGCGGUUACGCGCGGGCGCCGCCAUAAUCGCGGAGAACCGCUGGCGAUUCGAGCGCCAACAUAUCGUAGAAAAAAGUUGAAACUUGACGAUAAGACCGUAUCGCUGCAACGACGCCGAGCGAUUAUACGUUCGGGCAACUGAGCAGUGUUAAACUUAAUUUAAAGAAAAAGAAGAAAA
rnacentral:lncRNA from 1 species